rnacentral:rRNA from 1 species
AGUGAACGCUGGCGGUAGGCCUAACACAUGCCAGUCGAACGGCAGCACAGUAAGAGCUUGCUCUUACGGGUGGCGAGUGGCGGACGAGUGAGGAAUACAUCGGAAUCUACUUUUUCGUGGGGGAUAACGUAGGGAAACUUACGCUAAUACCGCAUACGACCUACGGGUGAAAGCAGGGGAUCUUCGGACCUUGCGCGAUUGAAUGAGCCGAUGUCGGAUUAGCUAGUUGGCGGGGUAAAGGCCCACCAAGGCGACGAUCCGUAGCUGGUCUGAGAGGAUGAUCAGCCACACUGGAACUGAGACACGGUCCAGACUCCUACGGGAGGCAGCAGUGGGGAAUAUUGGACAAUGGGCGCAAGCCUGAUCCAGCCAUACCGCGUGGGUGAAGAAGGCCUUCGAGUUGUAAAGCCCUUUUGUUGGGAAAGAAAAGCAGCAGGUUAAUACCCCGCUGUUCUGACGGUACCCAAAGAAUAAGCACCGGCUAACUUCGUG